rnacentral:lncRNA from 1 species
GAAGGAAAGACAUAGAAUUUGGAUUUUUCUUCUUCGUAGAGUUUUGGGAAGACUGAGGCAAUCGCUGCUGAAGUCAGUGUUUUAAUGGUGAAUCGGGAUUUUUAAAUAAAGUGGGUUUGAAUACUCUUGACUGUUUUGUAAAAUCGAGUUAUGUCUAUGAUUGAAGGAUUAAAAGGGUGUCUAUAGGAUUAAGUAUGCGGAGUGAAUGAAAUUUAUUGGGUUAAUCUAACAGGACAGUCAGUGGAUACA